UAUUCAGCACGUGGUUGGCAGUUGAUCAAGAGAACCCCAAUAGAACUUUCAAGCAAGGAAAUUGCAUUACGUAGCAUAAACAGCAUUAUGGUAUCGAAUGGUUUCUCAGAAUUUUGGCUAAACAAGUCUUUGGUGUUUUGGCCAAGUGCCAAAGCAUUGCAUUUGAUAGUCAACCGAAUGCAGCUUAAAUAUUAACAACCGCACACAAAGUAGGUAACAUAUGUGGUAGAAAAGAAAAUGGCGUAGUUGUGCACUUCUUUUUUUCCAACAUUGGAUCUUUUAACCUUUCCAUUCCAAGGUCUACUUUGCAAGGAUUGAAAGUAUGGUGAGGUAAAUGUACUAGCAUGAAGCCUUGAUGGACUACUUUUAUACAUAGGUAAUAAGACAUUUCACAGUCAUAUUAUAAUUUAAUAAGAUGUCAAACCAUUCGUGCCAAGUGAGAGAGUUACAAGGUCUUUUGAAUCUCAAGUUUCUAACAUAUUGUUCGACUUGCUUGAUUUGUGGGAUUUAUCCGAUUAACAUUGUUUGACAAAUUUUAUUACCACCUUUUGUCUGGGAAAGUUUGGUUUUAGAAAGAAGAGAGGAAUUAGCAACUUUGGUCUGAAGCAAAAGUAGCUGUUUGGACAGAGGCUGGAGCAGCAAUUGAUGAGUUAAAAUCUGUUUCUACUUGGUGUGAACCAGAAACUUGGGUGGAUACAAAUUGACCAACUGACGCGACUCUUGUCGUCUCAGACUUGGCAGAAACUACUGAAUACCCCAGACUCGUUUUUGGGCGUUAUGAUACCUUUGCUUGGUGGUUGUUUCUGCGUAGGAGACGAGGUCGUGUUUGUUUCACAGACAUAAGGAUACUUUUCUUCCCAUAAACUUUGUCCCUUUACGGCAUGACUUCAAAGUCAGACUGUGCUGAAUCACCCGGGGCUGGGAUCGCCUGGGCAAUGCCUUUGGUCAUUUUCAAGGGUAAUUUAAAAUCUGGUUACACAGACAACAGCAUUUCAACCGCAAACAGAAGAAUGUGCCAACGACAUCAGGACAUCCUAGCUGUUUUUAGUGCUCUGAUUCCUUUGAUAAUCGGCCGACAUGAUUUGAUUAUGUUGGUAUCUUCGUUGGCCGACGACUGGAAAUUUCUUGUGUGUAGGGUGUGGCGGGUGACAUUCUCAAUGCUCCUCGAUGCUAUUUCGCAAAAAUAUUGCUGUCAACAUUAACUACGUUAACGCACACGUGCACAAAACCAACGAACUUGGCGCUCAUAGUCUUCCCGCGUCCUCAAGUUUCAUUCCUCGCGUCACAGAAAGGGAGCCCAAUUGAUUUCUGGUACCAUCAGCAUAAGCAGGGGGAGCAAGACGCUGGAAUGGUGUGAGCGACCUGCCCCAGGAUGAAUGCUGGAUAUUAUUGCACGACCCAUCCAGCGUUCGGUAACGAGAGUCGAUUGUUGUUUGAUUACAAACGGAAUCCAUGGGGCACAUCUCAGAUAAAAUCGUGUCCUUCAAAUUAAAUUGGUUCAAUGCCAGCGCAACAUUCUCGGGGACUAGACGAGUAAAAACCUUUUGACAAUUUCACUGGCUGUAUAAGCUCCGAUGAUUGCCUCUCGGCUGAUUUUUUCAGAUUCUGCAGUUGUUGCAAAAACAAGUGCGUGAAUAGCACGAGACGAACCAGGUAAAACUAGAAUGUUAUUUUGAGUGAGUCGUUUUUCAAUCUCGCCCAUUGAACUCAUUUGUAAUCGACUCGCCUCGGCUGCUUGGUUCAUCGAUGGCGUGUUAAUGUUGUAAUUGAAACCAUUCUUUUCACCAAUUCUACCGAAUGGCGUUCGCAGAGGCGGCCCGUAACCUUUGAAAAUUAAUUGAAUUUGAAUAUUUCCAUACUAUUUGUAGGAAGAUCUGGACAACAAGCUCCUGGAUUUCCAUCUGAUAGUUUACACGCUGUUCCCGGAAUAGUUAGAAUCUGAUCGUACCAAACAGCACAGUCCUUGAUUGGACGGCAUUCUGACGGUAAAUCGUCAAUUUUGGGACAAGUGGCUAUGGAAUCGUUAAAAUUCCUGUAAGGGACAAAGCCACACAUGCCGCUGUUGAUGGGUGUCCGGGGAGUCGAUAAAGGAGCUUUCUUCAAAUAGCAAAAUCCUUCGUGAAGACGGAAAUGAUUACACUCGGGGUUAGCGACGCAGAGGCCGCCACAUAGUUCUCCAGUGCUCGCUAUUUUCCCGAUAUCAUGGCCGAAAAAAUCGCAAUUCAAAAGCCACUUGACUCCAUCCCCACCGGGGUUCCAAUGGUCUCGAUCUGACAAAAGGGAAUAUAACCGCAAACUCCCCCAUUGGUUGGUGUGCGAACAGUUGUUAUUGGUGCCGCUUUCAUGUAACAAAAUCCGUCAAAGUAGCGAAAGUGAGUACAUGGGCGCAUAGCGAUGCAAAUGUUGCCACAGUCUUCUCCGGAACUCGCGAUUUUAUGAAUGUCAUUGCCGUUAAAAUCGCAAUUUAUUUGCCAUUUGACGUCACGGGCGCCAAUUCUCCAGUCGUUCCCUGUGGACAUUACAGGGAAGAAACCCACAUACUCCACCACUAUGCGGUGUACGGAAAACUCCGAUGGGUGGAUUCUUUAAGUAACAGAAUCCAUCGUCGGAAUAAUGAAAAUGGGAGCACCUUGUAUUUGCAAUGCAAUGUCCACCGCAUUGUUCUCCCGUACUCGCCAAUCGUCCAAUAUCAUUACCAAAAAAAUCGCAGUUAAAUUGCCAUUUGACUCCAUCUUCUUCAGUGUUCCAGCCUUCCGCAUCUUGUUUAAUCGAUUGAAUUUGCGUGUCAUUCUCAGCGUUUACAUGAACGCUCCUAAUUUGAAUUUGCGUGUCAUUCUCAACGUUUGCAUGAACGCUCCAAAUUAAAACAUACAAAAUCCAGAUGGCCUUAAAUAGAAUUCUUCCCUUUUCAUGGCGCUGGAGUUGUUGAUCGUCAACCGGAGACGACAAGAAGAUGGUCACGCUUUUACUGCGGUGCAGGUAAUGCUUUGAAAAGUAUUUUCGGGGCUACUUAUAGUUUCAUACCUGAAGGUUCGCUCUUUUCAAGGC